AGAUUGAACGCUGGCGGCAUGCCUUACACAUGCAAGUCGAACGGCAGCACGGGAGCAAUCCUGGUGGCGAGUGGCGAACGGGUGAGUAAUAUAUCGGAACGUGCCCAGUCGUGGGGGAUAACGUAGAGAAAUUUACGCUAAUACCGCAUACGAUCUACGGAUGAAAGCGGGGGAUUCGCAAGGACCUCGCGCGAUUGGAGCGGCCGAUAUCAGAUUAGGUUGUUGGUGAGGUAAAAGCUCACCAAGCCGACGAUCUGUAGCUGGUUUGAGAGAACGACCAGCCACACUGGGACUGAGACACGGCCCAGACUCCUACGGGAGCAGCAGUGGGGAAUUUGGACAAUGGGCG
rnacentral:rRNA from 1 species